AAUCUUGUCAUUUGAUUUCUAUGGUAUUUCUCUCCAUUAGGACUGGGUAUUGGCUCCUACGGGUUACUCUGCCUUCUACUGUGAUGGAGAAUGCCUCUACCCUCUGUGUUCCUGCAUAAACUCCACCACCCACACUAUGAUCCAACUAGUGGUUUGUUGAACAUGAGUGGAAAUGAAACUCCAGCACACUGGUAGCACUAAAGACGUGUGAGUAGAACUUUUCCAGGUGAGUUGAACCUGCCUGUGGGUGCAGUGGGGAUAUUCCUGGGAGGUCUACUGAUGAAGAGGUAUAAGCUUGGCGUUGUGUCUGGAGCCCAGCUGUCUUUCGUCACCUCCUUCAUGGCCUACCUCCUCCUCCCUCUGCAGUCUGGCACUAAGUGUGACAACGUUCAGGUGGCUGGUCUGACCGUGUCCUACAACGGGAAAAUAUGACAUCUGAUUGGUUGGUUGGUUGGUGGGUUGAUAAAAACAAAAGUUUUGAUCAGUGGAAUAUGAGGGAGAGCUUGACCAAAACACACAUGGGCUUGUGCCGGGGCUCCCUCUUGUGGGAAUAUUCAGUAUGGUUGUUACUGAGCCCGGAUUCCUGGCUGUUUUGUCACUGUGCCUGUGUCAAUGAUAGUUCAGCAACAAUUAUUUAAACAUCAUUAUUACCAGCCAUUUUCUCUGUCCCCCAGGUCCCCUGGUGUACGAUGGCAGCCUGUUGUCAGAGUGUAACAGAGACUGCUCCUGCUUGGCUGGGGAGUGGGACCCUGAGUGUUCAGACAACGGCAUCACCUACACCUCCCCCUGCCUCGCAGGCUGCUCCAGCUUUACAGGUUAUGGCAAGAACACGUACCAAUCCUAUUAAUGUACUGAGUGUACAAAACAUUCACAGGGAUGCUGGCCCAUGUUGACUUCAGUGCUUCCCACAGUUGUGUCAAGUUGGCUGUAUGUCUUUUGAGUGGUGGACCAUUCUUGAUACACACGGGAAACUGUUGAGCGUAAAAAAAACAGCAGCGUUGCAGUUCUUGACACAAACUGGUACCCCUGGCACCGACUACCAUGCCCCGUUGAAAGGCACGUAAAUAUUUUGUCUUGCCCAUUCACCCUCUGAAUGGCACACACACAAUCCAUGUCUCAAUUGUCUCAAGCUUUACAAUAUAUUUUUUAAACCUUUCCCCUCCUCUUUAUCUAUACUGAUUUAAGUGGAUUUAACUAGUAACAUCCAUAAGGGAUUAUAGCGUUAACCUGGAUUCACCUGGUCAGCAUAUGUCAUGGAAAGAGCAGGUGUUCUUAAUGUUUUAUACACUCAGUGUAACUCAUUGGCACUGAAAUUAGUUAUUUUCAACCAUUAACUGGGGCCUUGUUGAGGCCUUAUCUAAGUAAGUAAUUGCUGAUUGACACUAAAGUAUUAUUUUGAUGUAUGGAAAAAAUAUGGUAUGCAAUUCCUAUGUAGAGAAGGUUCUCUCUGGUAGUUGUUCAAUAUGACUUGAACUUUUACAGCUUUUACAGGGCACUGUGGUAAAAUGGAUGUUUAAUUUCAGUGUGACUCCCUGUUUAAA